rfam:Microbacteriaceae bacterium BACL25 MAG-120322-bin65 contig00168_1_120322-bin65, whole genome shotgun sequence.
AUAACGGAGAGUUUGAUCCUGGCUCAGGACGAACGCUGGCGGCGCGCUUAACACAUGCAAGUCGAACGAUGAAGGCUGGAGCUUGCUCUGGCUGGAUUAGUGGCGAACGGGUGAGUAACACGUGAGCAAUCUGCCCCUGACUCUGGGAUAACUUCGAGAAAUCGAUGCUAAUACCGGAUACGACCCUUCCAGGCAUCUGGUGAGGGU